rnacentral:rRNA from 1 species
CGACUGCGGAGACAUUAUUGAUUUUUGAAUGAGUUGUUUGCUGGCCUCUCUCAGCAGAGGGGCAUGUGCACGCUCCGUUCGAAUCCAACCUUUAUACACCUGUGCACUCUUUGUAGGGUUGUGGCCGUGAAGGCUGCACUCUAUGUUCAUCAUAAACUCUUCAGUAUGUGUAGAAUGUUCAUUGCGUGUAACGCAUCUUUAUACAACUUUCAGCAACGGAUCUCUUGGCUCUCGCAUCGAUGAAGAACGCAGCGAAAUGCGAUAAGUAAUGUGAAUUGCAGAAUUCAGUGAAUCAUCGAAUCUUUGAACGCACCUUGCGCUCCUCGGUAUUCUGAGGAGCAUGCCUGUUUGAGUGUCAUGGAAUCAUCAAUCCUUAUCUUUAUUGAUAAGGGCUUGGACUUGGAGGCUUGUGCUGGUUUUAAAUAGAAAAUCGGCUCCUCUUGAAUGCAUUAGCUUGAACCUAUGCUGUAUCGGCUGUUCGGUGUGAUAAUUGUCUACGCCGUGGCUGUGAGGCUUUUAAACUUGUAGGAUCAGCUUCGAACCGUCCCCACAGAAUGGGACAACAUCUUCAUUGACCUUUGACCUCAAAUCAGGUAGGAUUACCCGCUGAACUUAAGCAUAUCA